CUGUCUCAAAGAUUAAGCCAUGCAUGUCUCAGUACAAGCCAAAUUAAGGUGAAACCGCGAAAGGCUCAUUAAAUCAGUUAUGGUUCCUUAGAUCGUACCUACAUUUACUUGGAUAACUGUGGUAAUUCUAGAGCUAAUACAUGCAAACAGAGCUCCGACCGGAAACGGAAGGAGCGCUUUUAUUAGAUCAAAACCAAUCGGUGGCGGUUCGCCGUCAUCGUACAAUUUGGUGACUCUGAAUAACUUUACGCUGAUCGCACGGUCUUGCACCGGCGACGCAUCUUUCAAAUGUCUGCCUUAUCAACUGUCGAUGGUAGGUUCUGCGCCUACCAUGGUUGUAACGGGUAACGGGGAAUCAGGGUUCGAUUCCGGAGAGGGAGCCUGAGAAACGGCUACCACAUCCAAGGAAGGCAGCAGGCGCGCAAAUUACCCACUCCCGGCACGGGGAGGUAGUGACGAAAAAUAACGAUACGGGACUCAUCCGAGGCCCCGUAAUCGGAAUGAGUACACUUUAAAUCCUUUAACGAGGAUCAAUUGGAGGGCAAGUCUGGUGCCAGCAGCCGCGGUAAUUCCAGCUCCAAUAGCGUAUAUUAAAGUUGUUGCGGUUAAAAAGCUCGUAGUCGAAUCUGUGUCCCGCGCCGCCGGUUCAUCGUUCGCGGUGUUAACUGGCGUGCCGCGGGACGUCCUGCCGGUGGGCUUAGCUCGCAAGGGCGGCCCAACUCAAUCCCGCCGCGGUGCUCUUCACUGAGUGUCGAGGUGGGCCGGCACGUUUACUUUGAACAAAUUAGAGUGCUUAAAGCAGGCUAAAACUUCGCCUGAAUACUGUGUGCAUGGAAUAAUGGAAUAGGACCUCGGUUCUAUUUUGUUGGUUUUCGGAACCCCGAGGUAAUGAUUAAUACGGAACGGAUGGGGGCGAUUCGUAUUGCGACGUUAGAGGUGAAAUUCUUGGAUCGUCGCAAGACGGACAG
rnacentral:rRNA from 1 species